CAGAAUGCUCCUAACAACGCCACCGUUCUUCGCUCGAAAGCCACCGGAGAACCACCAUUAUGUUUGAGUUACACGGUACCGAUCGCAAUUCGUUAUGCGCUCGAUUCAGCGAGAAAAGAUGCAGGAAACAAUGAUCCUUGGUAUCAAUUAGAUGCCCCUCUUACCACGGAGAAAAUCCUGUUGAGCAGUUUGACCAG